UUUUAUUGGCGAGGACUCUAUGUAACAAAAAUUAGAGUUCAUGUAUCUUAAUAUUAUCUUUAGUUUAGAUAUUUAUUGUUAGACAAGUUUUUUUACGGCUCAAUCAGGAGUCAUUAGCCCAGAGUAUAAAUAUGUUCCCUUUGGCCAUUGUAAAAACAAUCAUCAAUCAAUCAAAAUACAACCUUUUGGCGCCAUGCUGCCAAAAC
rnacentral:lncRNA from 1 species